rfam:'Echinacea purpurea' witches'-broom phytoplasma strain NCHT2014 contig_18, whole genome shotgun sequence.
GAAAGCCGGAUGCUUGGAAACUUGCUUGUCCGGUUUGGACGGGGGCUGAUUGUAAAUAAAACAACAAAUACAAAUCGUUGUAUAAAACGCAAUUAAUCUAUCCGUAU